rnacentral:snoRNA from 2 species
UGUGCAGGACAUGUCUAAAUAGGCAUACAACUUGUCAUUGUGUUAUUGCCACUUGAACUUGUUCCCUGCUAGACCAAUUCGAGAAAAAUGGGCAGUUGAGUUAGGCCAGAUAUUGUGGUUUACUCAACAAUCAUUUUUCUCAUAGUU